GGGUUGUGAGGUUAAGCGACUAAGCGUACACGGUGGAUGCCCUGGCAGUCAGAGGCGAUGAAGGACGUGCUAAUCUGCGAAAAGCGCCGGCGAGGUGAUAUGAACCUUUGACCCGGCGAUGUCCGAAUGGGGAAACCCAGUGCAAUUCGUUGCACUAUCGUUAACUGAAUACAUAGGUUAACGAGGCGAACCGGGGGAACUGAAACAUCUAAGUACCCCGAGGAAAAGAAAUCAACCGAGAUUCCCCCAGUAGCGGCGAGCGAACGGGGAGCAGCCCAGAGUCUGAAUCAGCUUGUGUGUUAGUGGAAGCGUCUGGAAAGUCGCACGGUACAGGGUGACAGUCCCGUACACGAAAGCACACAGGCUGUGAACUCGAAGAGUAGGGCGGGACACGUGGUAUCCUGUCUGAAUAUGGGGGGACCAUCCUCCAAGGCUAAAUACUCCUGACUGACCGAUAGUGAACCAGUACCGUGAGGGAAAGGCGAAAAGAACCCCGGCGAGGGGAGUGAAAAAGAACCUGAAACCGUGUACGUACAAGCAGUGGGAGCACCUUCGUGGUGUGACUGCGUACCUUUUGUAUAAUGGGUCAGCGACUUAUAUUCUGUAGCAAGGUUAACCGUAUAGGGGAGCCGAAGGGAAACCGAGUCUUAACUGGGCGUUAAGUUGCAGGGUAUAGACCCGAAACCCGGUGAUCUAGCCAUGGGCAGGUUGAAGGUUGGGUAACACUAACUGGAGGACCGAACCGACUAAUGUUGAAAAAUUAGCGGAUGACUUGUGGCUGGGGGUGAAAGGCCAAUCAAACCGGGAGAUAGCUGGUUCUCCCCGAAAGCUAUUUAGGUAGCGCCUCGUGAACUCAUCUUCGGGGGUAGAGCACUGUUUCGGCUAGGGGGCCAUCCCGGCUUACCAACCCGAUGCAAACUACGAAUACCGAAGAAUGUUAUCACGGGAGACACACGGCGGGUGCUAACGUCCGUCGUGAAGAGGGAAACAACCCAGACCGCCAGCUAAGGUCCCAAAGUCAUGGUUAAGUGGGAAACGAUGUGGGAAGGCACAGACAGCCAGGAUGUUGGCUUAGAAGCAGCCAUCAUUUAAAGAAAGCGUAAUAGCUCACUGGUCGAGUCGGCCUGCGCGGAAGAUGUAACGGGGCUAAACCAUGCACCGAAGCUGCGGCAGCGACGCUUAUGCGUUGUUGGGUAGGGGAGCGUUCUGUAAGCCGUUGAAGGUGGCCUGUGAGGGUUGCUGGAGGUAUCAGAAGUGCGAAUGCUGACAUAAGUAACGAUAAAGCGGGUGAAAAGCCCGCUCGCCGGAAGACCAAGGGUUCCUGUCCAACGUUAAUCGGGGCAGGGUGAGUCGACCCCUAAGGCGAGGCCGAAAGGCGUAGUCGAUGGGAAACAGGUUAAUAUUCCUGUACUUGGUGUUACUGCGAAGGGGGGACGGAGAAGGCUAUGUUAGCCGGGCGACGGUUGUCCCGGUUUAAGCAUGUAGGCGGAGGUUCCAGGUAAAUCCGGUACCUUUU
rnacentral:rRNA from 1 species